UGGGGUUCUUAGAAUUAUAGAACCAAUCCCAGGCGAGACCAGCUCCCUGUCAAACGUCAUCUGACUACCCUUAGGACAGAAGGAGACUCAUCCCAUGGCCGUCACCUCAUCACGUCAACACCCCAGGCGGCUCACCGUUAAUCCAAAGAGGAUAUACCACCGAUGCUUAUCCACUCCAGGGCUACACUCACAGCUGAGCUCCUCGGAAAAGUGGCAGCAUCACUUAAGAUUCCACUCAUCUCUCUAACCAGCCCAACUGGAUUCCAGCUGUCUGUUCCUGAAUAGGUGACUACCAUCUUCAGUGUGGAGUAUGAAAUCCAAGUGGAGAGUGUGCUGGUCCUGCUUCUUAGAUUUGUCUAGUAAAACCUAGUCCAAGGCCCUUCACCGACCAAUGAAUAAAAUACUGAAGUCUGAGAGACAUGGGCUGCUAUCCACAUGAGAAUGCUGCGGUAAAGGGUCACAUGCUUUGAUCUGCUUUCUACGGGCUGGGCUGACUUUAGCCAAGAGCUCCGCUAAGAUUCAGUCCAGGUGAUGUAGUGGGAGACCUGUGACAAAAUCACGCUGAAGGGGCUAGAACCACACUCUAACUGGGAAGUGCCCCACCCAGUCGCCAGCAGACCAAGAAAUGAAUAAAAGCCCACAAUAAAUGGGAGCUUUUUAUUAAAGAUGAAUGUAGCAUCUAUUUCUAGAAGAUUCAGAA